UAUCAAGAAUGAAUCUAAAAGCUUGAAGAAGUCACUUAAGGAUGUUGCAACUGAAAAUGUAUUCGAGAAGAAGCUUUUAGCUGAUGUCGUUCCACCGGAUGACAUUGAAGUUACCUUUGACAAUAUUGGAGCUCUUGAAAACGUGAAGGAUACAUUAGAGGAGUUGGUCAUGCUUCCUUUACAGAGGCUUGAACUCUUCUGCAAGGGGCAGCUAACCAAGCCUUGCAAGGGCAUACUCUUAUUUGGACCUCCCGGAACCGGAAAGACCAUGCUGGCAAAGGCCGUGGCUACUGAAGCUGGUGCAAACUUCAUCAAUUUAUCAAUGUCAAGCCUCACAUCGAAGUGGUUUGGUGAGGCUGAGAA